rnacentral:lncRNA from 1 species
ACGUGUUAUGGCUAUAUAAUAGUACGCGUAAGUAUUUAAGUAAUUUAUUAAACACAUUUGAUAAACCACGACAUAUCAAGAGAAACAAAUAAUACAUGCUUUGAUUUUUAAAUUUAGUUUCUUGUGUAUAUUUCAUAGUAUAGUGUGACGUCCAUUAUCAUUGAACUAGUAUACAUUUGUUGUUUGCUCUUUGGUUGGGUUGUUGUAUAUUUGACACAUCCCUUAUUUCCAUUCUUAAUUUAAUGAUAUAGGUUUAGGUCGUCAUUUUGUUCAAUCCUUUAUGACUCCCCAAUUUGCAAGAUUUGAAAAAAACCUGUAGAUAGAUUAACUAAUAAUAUGAUGAAUUCGUAAUUAUCUAUAUCUGGGUUCGUUAUCAUGAACUUUUAUUAUUUGUUUUAAUUUAGUUUUUGAAAUGUUUUUAUUUGUGCGCUGUUGACUGUUAGUCUGAUGUAAACGAAUGUUCAAAUACAUGAUGUUGUUCAUUGGAUCUGGUUGUGUGAUUACUUCUUUAAAAAAAACCUCAAAUGAACGAGUUUUUAACAAGAUAUAUUUGUCCCGCUGUUCAAAAGGAAAAAUAAUAUAAAAUGUAUAUACACACUUUUGAAAUUAUAAUUCAAGUCUUUUUUUUAAUAUACGAUCUGUUUAAAUGUGUUUCUUUUUAUUUUUCCUGUACUUUAGAAAUUGAUUUGCGUGACGACGAUUAUACGAUGGACUGUAUUACUGCGCAAUGUACAGACAACGGAACAAUCCAUAAAGCGGUUAAUUGCAGCUCAAAAAGGCUAGCAAAAUGUCGUGAGUACUGUCAUUAGGAGUUUCUAGAAUGAAUUUCACGUUUCAUGCAACCCACUUUCCGUCUCUGUCUCUUUUUCCUCUAUCUGUUUUAUUUUUUAUUUUUUGGAUAAUAAGAAAACAAUUAUAUCUUAAUGGGUUUUUUUAACACCCCAUUUAAAUUCAAAUCAUUUAGAAUAUAUAGAAUUGUGUUUUGUCAAAACUUUUAUAUCUAAAUAAUUAAACCUGUAUACAUAAUAAAAGCCAGGAUUGUGUGCACAUUAACUUAUCCUUAAUGUUGAUAAUAUAUAAUAAAAAUUUCAAUUAUUGAAGCUAGAAACGUAUUUAAAAAAGAUUAAUUUAAAAAAAAAAGGAAAAUCUAUACCGCUUAGAAUCAGACGCAUCUUUUUUUUACAGUGUGAUCAAAAUUUCCUUGCAUAUUUUGUACUCUGAGAUAACAGUUUAUUAGUAAUAACAUAGAAGUGUAUUAAUAUUAUCAAUUCCAUAUGGAAAACAUAGUAUGGUAUUUUUUUAUUUUAGUUGUACCGAACGGAUUAUAAGGUGUACAAUAUUUUUGUUAUAUUAACAUGAACAGAAUUGUGGCAUUGUUGAUUACAAAGUUGGAAUUUCUGUUCUGUCAAAAUUUUAACCCUUGGUCGUUAAUAUAUUGCAACACAAACAUUUCAUACAUUGUCACCCAUCGUGUUUUUCAUCGUAUUACUAUUAUUAUCAUUACUAUUAUUAUUAUUGAUAUGUAAGACCAUGUGUGUGUUUAUCUUCAUUUUAUAAAAGGACCUUAAGCUAUCAACACUAAAUAAACAAUUAACUAAAAUGUAAUCCUCGUUGGUUCUUGUUUGUGUGUGUUUACCUUUAAAGAUUGUAAAAGAAAUACCAGUUUUAAGUCAAGAUAAAACAUGAUUUAAUAAGGUUGCCAAUACAUUUUAUCGUACUGCCUAAAACCAUGCUGUAUACAAAAUUUAAAGUUGGUGCAUCCGAAAUCAGCAUAUCUAGUUCUUAUUACGACAUUAAUUGUAAACGAAAGAGGAAGAACUAUAUUAUCGGUACAUAUAUCAAUAAGAAAGUGGGGUAUGGUUUCCAAUGAGACAUCCAUGUACCAGAAUAAAAUUACAAAAGUCAUUCUUUGUAGAGUUACUCGGUUCGUCUUUCAAUAUUUCGGAGAAGGAUACACAAACAAACAGCGAAGACAACUGUUACAAACGGUCGGCCUAUCUAAUCUCAAAUCAAGUAUGUACAGCAUUAGGCAACAGUGACAAGAAUUCACCGGAAUUUUGGACAGGCAUUAAAAGAUACCGAUACAAAAUUA